UCCCUGGUGGCUCAGAUGGUAAAGAAUCUGCCUGCAACACAGGAGACCUGGGUUCGAUCCCUGGCUCGAGAA
rfam:Ovis aries breed Texel chromosome 12, whole genome shotgun sequence.